CUCGUAGAUUCUCAUGCGGUAGGGACUGCCGCUGGCCUGCUCGGACAGAGAGGUACAGGAGAGGUAACACUGGCAAAACACAGGUCACUUGGGGGCAUGGGGAAUCACAGGAAACCAGUGACAUGUUUCAGCAGGCCUUAGGUUAACACAGGAAACCAGUACAUGUUUCAGCGGGCCUUAGGUUAACACAGGAAACCAGUACAUGUUUCAGCGGGCCUUAGGUUAACACAGGAAACCAGUGACAUGUUUCAGCGGGCCUUAGGUUAACACAGGAAACCAGUACAUGUUUCAGCGAGCCUUAGGUUAACACAGGAAACCAGUGACAUGUUUCAGCGGGCCUUAGGUUAACACAGGAAACCAGUACAUGUUUCAGAGGGCCUUAGGUUAACACAGGAAACCAGUACAUGUUUCAGCGGGCCUUAGGUUAACACAGGAAACCAGUACAUGUUUCAGCGGGCCUUAGGUUAACACAGGAAACCAGUACAUGUUUCAGCGGGCCUUAGGUUAACACAGGAAACCAGUACAUGUUUCAGCGGGCCUUAGGUUAACACAGGAAACCAGUACAUGUUUCAGCGGGCCUUAGGUUAACACAGGAAACCAGUACAUGUUUCAGCGGGCCUUAGGUUAACACAGGAAACCAGUGACAUGUUUCAGCGGGCCUUAGGUUAACACAGGAAACCAGUACAUGUUUCAGCGGGCCUUAGGUUAACACAGGAAACCAGUGACAUGUUUCAGCGGGCCUUAGGUUAACACAGGAAACCAGUACAUGUUUCAGCGGGCCUUAGGUUAACACAGGAAACCAGUGACAUGUUUCAGCGGGCCUUAGGUUAACACAGGAAACCAGUACAUGUUUCAGCGAGCCUUAGGUUAACACAGGAAACCAGUACAUGUUUCAGCGGGCCUUAGGUUAACACAGGAAACCAGUACAUGUUUCAGCGGGCCUUAGGUUAACACAGGAAACCAGUACAUGUUUCAGCGGGCCUUAGGUUAACACUGGGAAGUCAAAAUGCUAAAGUAGCCAAGCACCACAUUUGGUGUCAGAAGUGGGAUAUCACAAUUGGGGAGGUCGCAGUGUGCUAACAUAGGCCAGGGUCAUGACAGUCACAAAGGUAGUUUAGGACAUGUCCAGAAUGUCUCAGAAAUGUCUCUUGAAGGAACCCAAGAUUAUGGGCUU